GGUGACUGCGUACCUUUUGUAUAAUGGGUCAGCGACUUAUAUUCUGUAGCAAGGUUAACCGUAUAGGGGAGCCGUAGGGAAACCGAGUCUUAACUGGGCGAAUGAGUUGCAGGGUAUAGACCCGAAACCCGGUGAUCUAUCCAUGGGCAGGUUGAAGGUUGGGUAACACUAACUGGAGGACCGAACCGACUAAUGUUGAAAAAUUAGCGGAUGACUUGUGGAUGGGGGUGAAAGGCCAAUCAAACCGGGAGAUAGCUGGUUCUCCCCGAAAGCUAUUUAGGUAGCGCCUCGUGAACUCAUCUUCGGGGGUAGAGCACUGUUUCGACUAGGGGGUCAUCCCGACUUACCAACUCGAUGCAAACUGCGAAUACCGAAGAAUGUUAUCACGGGAGACACACGGCGGGUGCUAACGUCCGUCGUGAAGAGGGAAACAACCCAGACCGCCAGCUAAGGUCCCAAAGUCAUGGUUAAGUGGGAAACGAAGUGGGAAGGCUCAGACAGCCAGGAUGUUGGCUUAGAAGCAGCCAUCAUUUAAAGAAAGCGUAAUAGCUCACUGGUCGAGUCGGCCCGCGCGGAAGAUGUAACGGGGCUAAACCAUGCACCGAAGCUGCGGCAGCGACACUUAGGUGUUGUUGGGUAGGGGAGCGUUCUGUAAGCCUGCGAAGGUGUACUGUGAGGUAUGCUGGAGGUAUCAGAAGUGCGAAUGCUGACAUAAGUAACGAUAAUGCGGGUGAAAAACCCGCACGCCGGAAGACCAAGGGUUCCUGUCCAACGUUAAUCGGGGCAGGGUGAGUCGACCCCUAAGGCGAGGCUGAAAAGCGUAGUCGAUGGGAAACGGGUUAAUAUUCCCGUACUGGUGGUAACUGCGAUGGGGGAACGGAGAAGGCUAGGUUGUCCGGGCGACGGUCGUCCCGGUUCAAGCAUGUAGGCAGAGUGAUUAGGCAAAUCCGGUCACUUAAUGCUGAGGUGUGAUGACGAGCCACUAAGGUGGUGAAGCAAUUGAUGCCCUGCUUCCAGGAAAAGCCUCUAAGCUUCAGGUUACCAACAAUCGUACCCCAAACCGACACAGGUGGUCAGGUAGAGAAUACUCAGGCGCUUGAGAGAACUCGGGUGAAGGAACUAGGCAAAAUGGUGCCGUAACUUCGGGAGAAGGCACGCUGGCGGUAAGUGAAGUCCCUUGCGGACGGAGCCGAAGCCAGUCGAAGAUACCAGCUGGCUGCAACUGUUUAUUAAAAACACAGCACUGUGCAAACACGAAAGUGGACGUAUACGGUGUGACGCCUGCCCGGUGCUGGAAGGUUAAUUGAUGGGGUUAUCCUUAGGGAGAAGCUCUUGAUCGAAGCCCCAGUAAACGGCGGCCGUAACUAUAACGGUCCUAAGGUAGCGAAAUUCCUUGUCGGGUAAGUUCCGACCUGCACGAAUGGCGUAAUGAUGGCCAGGCUGUCUCCACCCGAGACUCAGUGAAAUUGAACUCGCUGUGAAGAUGCAGUGUACCCGCGGCAAGACGGAAAGACCCCGUGAACCUUUACUAUAGCUUGACACUGAACAUUGAGCCUUGAUGUGUAGGAUAGGUGGGAGACUAUGAAGUGUGGACGCCAGUCUGCAUGGAGUCAACCUUGAAAUACCACCCUUUAACGUUUGAUGUUCUAACCUAGGCCCAUAAUCUGGGUCGGGGACCGUGUCUGGUGGGUAGUUUGACUGGGGCGGUCUCCUCCUAAAGAGUAACGGAGGAGCACGAAGGUUGGCUAAGCAUGGUCGGACAUCAUGCGGUUAGUGCAAAGGCAUAAGCCAGCUUGACUGUGAGAGUGACGGCUCGAGCAGGUACGAAAGUAGGUCUUAGUGAUCCGGUGGUUCUGAAUGGAAGGGCCAUCGCUCAACGGAUAAAAGGUACUCCGGGGAUAACAGGCUGAUACCGCCCAAGAGUUCAUAUCGACGGCGGUGUUUGGCACCUCGAUGUCGGCUCAUCACAUCCUGGGGCUGAAGUAGGUCCCAAGGGUAUGGCUGUUCGCCAUUUAAAGUGGUACGCGAGCUGGGUUUAGAACGUCGUGAGACAGUUCGGUCCCUAUCUGCCGUGGGCGUUGGAAGAUUGAGAGGGGUUGCUCCUAGUACGAGAGGACCGGAGUGAACGCACCACUGGUGUUCGGGUUGUCAUGCCAAUGGCAUUGCCCGGUAGCUAAGUGCGGAAGAGAUAACCGCUGAAAGCAUCUAAGCGGGAAACUUGCCUCGAGAUGAGUCUUCCCUGUCACCUUGAGUGACCUAAAGGAACGUUUAAGACUAAGACGUUGAUAGGCUGGGUGUGUAAGCGUAGCGAUACGUUGAGCUAACCAGUACUAAUGAACCGUGAGGCUUAACCUG
rnacentral:rRNA from 1 species